AAAGUCGUAACAAGGUUUCCGUAGGUGAACCUGCGGAAGGAUCAUUAUUGAAAUAAACUUGAUAAGUUGCUGCUGGUUCUCUGGGAGCAAUGUGCACACUUGUCAUCUUUGUAUCUUCACCUGUGCACCUUUUGUAGACCUGACUAUCUCUCUGAAUGCUUUUUAUAGCACUCAGGAUUGAGAAUUGACUUCUUGUCUCUUCUUAUAUUUUCAGGUCUAUGUUUCCUCAUAUACCCUAAUGCAUGUUUAUAGAAUGUAAUUAAUGGGCCUUUGUGCCUAUAAAUCUUUACAACUUUCAGCAACGGAUCUCUUGGCUCUCGCAUCGAUGAAGAACGCAGCGAAAUGCGAUAAGUAAUGUGAAUUGCAGAAUUCAGUGAAUCAUCGAAUCUUUGAACGCACCUUGCGCUCCUUGGUAUUCCGAGGAGCAUGCCUGUUUGAGUGUCAUUAAUAAUAUCAACCUUUUUGGUUGGAUGUGGGUUUGCUGGCCUCUGGAGGUCAGCUCCCCUUAAAUGCAUUAGCGGACAACAUUUUGCCAACUGUUCAUUGGUGUGAUAAUUAUCUACGCUAUUGAUGGUGAAGCAAGGUUCAGCUUCUAAUAGUCCAUUGACUUGGACAAGCUUUCUUUUAUUAAUGUGACCUCAAAUCAGGUAGGACUACCCGCUGAACUUAAGCAUAUCAAUAAGCGGAGGAAAAGAAACUAACAAGGAUUCCCCUAGUAACUGCGAGUGAAGCGGGAAAAGCUCAAUUUAAAAUCUGACAGUCUUUGGCUGUCCGAGUUGUAAUCUAGAGAAGCAUUAUCCGC
rnacentral:rRNA from 1 species